GGCAACCCUGAUCCAGCAAUGCCGCGUGUGUGAAGAAGGCCUGAGGGUUGUAAAGCUCUUUCAAUUGUGAAGAAAAGCUCGCGGUUAAUACCCGUUAGCCUUGACGUUAACUUUAGAAGAAGCACCGGCUAACUCCGUGCCAGCAGCCGCGGUAAUACGGAGGGUGCAAGCGUUAAUCGGAAUUACUGGGCGUAAAGCGUGCGUAGGCGGUUUGUUAAGUCAGAUGUGAAAGCCCCGGGCUUAACCUGGGAACUGCAUUUGAAACUGGUUGACUAGAGUAUGGGAGAGGAAAGUGGAAUUUCUGGUGUAGCGGUGAAAUGCGUAGAUAUCGCAAGGAACAUCAAUGGCGAAGGCAGCUUUCUGGACCAAUACUGACGCUGAGGUACGAAAGCGUGGGUAGCAAACAGGAUUAGAUACCCUGGUAGUCCACGCCGUAAACGAUGACAACUAGCCGUUGGGAGGAUUUACCCUUUAGUGUCGAAGCUAACGCGUUAAGUUAUCCGCCUGGGGAGUACGGCCGCAAGGUUA
rnacentral:rRNA from 1 species